GUUUGAUCCUGGCUCAGGACGAACGCUGGCGGCGUGCUUAACACAUGCAAGUCGAACGAGAAUCUGUGGAUCGAGGAUUCGUCCAAGUGAAGCAGAGGACAGUGGCGGACGGGUGAGUAACGCGUGAGGAACCUGCCUUUCAGAGGGGGACAACAGUUGGAAACGACUGCUAAUACCGCAUGAUACAUUUGGGUGGCAUCAUCUGAAUGUCAAAGAUUUAUCGCUGAAAGAUGGCCUCGCGUCUGAUUAGCUAGUUGGUGGGGUAACGGCCCACCAAGGCGACGAUCAGUAGCCGGACUGAGAGGUUGACCGGCCACAUUGGGACUGAGAUACGGCCCAGACUCCUACGGGAGGCAGCAGUGGGGAAUAUUGGGCAAUGGGCGCAAGCCUGACCCAGCAACGCCGCGUGAAGGAAGAAGGCUUUCGGGUUGUAAAUUUCUUUUAAGAGGGAAGAGCAGAAGACUGUACCUCUAGAAUAAGCCACGGCUAACUACGUGCCAGCAGCCGCGGUAAUACGUAGGUGGCAAGCGUUGUCCGGAUUUACUGGGUGUAAAGGGCGUGCAGCCGGGAAUGCAAGUCAGAUGUGAAAUCCAUGGGCUUAACCCAUGAACUGCAUUUGAAACUGU
rnacentral:rRNA from 1 species